rnacentral:rRNA from 1 species
CAGUCGCCGCGGUAAUACGGAGGGGGCUAGCGUUGCUCGGAAUGACUGGGCGUAAAGGGCUCGCAGGCGGUUUCUUAAGUCUGAUGUGAAAGCCCCCGGCUCAACCGGGGAGGGUCAUUGGAAACUGGGAAACUUGAGUGCAGAAGAGGAGAGUGGAAUUCCACGUGUAGCGGUGAAAUGCGUAGAGAUGUGGAGGAACACCAGUGGCGAAGGCGACUCUCUGGUCUGUAACUGACGCUGAGGAGCGAAAGCGUGGGGAGCGAACAGGAUUAGAUACCCGAGUAGUCCCUGUCUCUUAUAC